CAUUACCGAGUUUACAACUCCUAACCCAAUGUGAACGUUACCAAACUGUUGCCU
rnacentral:rRNA from 1 species